GCGGAUGUAGCUCAAUUGGUUAGAGCGCUGGUUUGUGGUACCAGAUGUUGUGAGUUCGAGUCUCAUCUUCCGCCCCA
rnacentral:tRNA from 1 species